GCCGCCGAGGAGCAGAUGGAAUAAAGAGGGCAGGGCAAAAGAGUGAACAGGGCUCGUUUCCUGGACGCUGAGGCAGAGAUCACCCUCUUCUCCCAUCACACAGUGCAGCUGCAAUGUGCUGGCAGAGUGAGUCCAGCAUCCACAGCCAGCCUCUAAACGCGGCAGGAGCUAGGACCCAGCGACUGCAGCACAGGAGAUUGGACCAAUCGGAGACUGUGCUCUCCGAAGUUCAUUUCAUAGAGGGGAAAACUGAAAAGCAUGGCUUCAGCAGGAGGAGGACCUCCAUCCCUAACAGUAGCAGCCAGAGGCUCCGUAGUUUUGACUGAGCCUGUUGAUGUUGUUUUGAUCACCAUGGAAACAUCCCUGCCGCACGGUGCGUCGUGACGUCAUGGCGACGCGGAUGCGAGCUGUGCAUGCUGGCGGGCGGCCGCGCCGUGUGGACAGUUCUUAGGGCCCCCCUGUCUUAAGUACCCUAGGCCCCCCGAAGCCUUAAUCCAGCUCUGGAUGAAAGACACAUCAUGCUUACUUCCCUUUAAAAUCAGAAGAUGUCCAGCAGUGCCAGGUACACCCAUAUGCUGUACGGAGAAGUCUUGCCAGAAGUGGUCUUCAUGGAAGCCUUACCUUUGACAUGGAAACCAGAUCAAGCGACUCAAGUAUGCACAAGAAUAUAGCAAAUUGAGUGCAGAAAAAUGGCACACACACACAGUUAAAUAAUUUAAUAUAUAUCUAUAUCUAUCUAUCUAUAUAUAUAUAUAUGUAUAUACACACACACACACACGCACACAUACUAGGGGGUAAAUUUACUAAGAUGGGAGUUCUGUUUAACAUGGGAUGUUGCCCAUAGCAACCAAUCAGAUUCCAGGUUUUAUCUUCUAGGAGGUGCUAAAUAAAUGAGAAGUAGAAUCUGACUGUUUGCUAUGGGCAACAUCCCAUCUUAAAUAGAACUCCCAUCUUAGUAAAUGUACCCCUAGGUGUUCUACCCAUUCUUCGCACGGGAGUUUCUGAUUUCUACGUCUGUAAAUAUAAAUUAGUGUUAAAAAUUUGGUAAAUCUAUAGAGCUGUAAAUUUGAGACGUCUUACUGUAAGUAAAUAUUAAUCCAUGGUUCUUGGUGUUACCCGAGGAGCACCCGUAGCAGAUACGGUAAAAAGGGACAGGACCAGUUUUGAGGUUUAUUAAAUUCUACACACUGGAGGUGCAAUCCAAAUUUUGAUCCGAUUGUUUGGGCGUUAUCGUUCACACAACACAAGCCACGCAUCUGUAAUGGCGUCAUUAUGUCAACCCCUUUUCAUCCCCUUAGGGGAGGUUUAUUAAUAUUCUAAUUACAUAGUUUUCCACUUGCAGAAUACCUAUGUUAUCUUCCUGACAUAUCGGAAAGUAAGAGAAUUAGUGAUGAGUGAAUCAGUCAGUCAGUCAGUCAGUGAGGGCUUUUUGAAUUUAUAUAUAUAUAUAUAUAUAUAUAUAUAUAUAUAAAACAGUUAAUCAGCACUCACAUCGUCCGCGGGACAACUUCAGGGGUGCAGCCCAGCCAGGUCACCAUCCAGUUCCGGAGAAUAUAAGAGCAGAAUAAAGGGGCGCUCACCAGUACAACAUAGGUACUAUCUUCUUUAUUCACAUCAUCAUAUUAGACAGGUCGACGUUUCAGUCCUAUUAGGACCUUUGUCAAGACGCACAAUGUCCAGGAGUAGCAGCAUAUCUCUCACUGCCCUUGGCAUCCCUAAAUAGCCAGACCGCAGACUGCGCUGUAAGCACACUUCCAGACGUCACCGGAAGUACUUGCGUUCCAUAUACCAGGAAGUAUGCGCUCCGCCGGCCGGAAGUGCGUGACUAUCACGUCUAAUUACGGCCUCAAGUUAUAUAAUCACAACAAGAUGUAUAAUAAGGACCUUAGGGUCCACAAAACAAUAUAUUUACAUAUAGCCAUAUCACAUAACAUAUAUGUAGACAAGUACUUAUCAAAUAUACAUUAUUAUAAAGCGCAGAUCAACUUAUUAGCCAUCCUGUAUGCCGCAGGCAGUGCAGGAACAUCUCCAUAAUAUAACAUUCUACACACAAAAAUAUACAAAAGACACAUAGUCCACAAAGAAACAGAAGAAGAACCACCAAUAUAUAAAACACACAAAGUCCAUUAAGAACAUUGAAGAAUAAAGAAAAAUACGAAAAAUAUUGGGAUAUCAGGCUGUAAUCUAAAUAGAUCUAACCUCGUAGAAACACAUUCAAAGAGUUAUGUUCAUAAAGCCCUAUAUUCAUUCUCCCUCAAUGUGGGCCUACUGUAUUUCAGAGAUAUUGCUAAUGCAUUUGCUGGCGCGAUCCCGUAUGCAGUGGAUGUGCGAAAUAUACUAAUACUGUAGCCGUUUGAAAAUGGAUUGAGAUGCCCACUGGCGGCCUCGCAAAUACCAGCAUCUGCGUACAAACACGCACUCUAUUGUCACGCAGAAUAGAUGCUGGAACUGAGACGCUGGUGCCAUGUUUUCUGCUUACAAGAUCGCAGAUGUAUGCUGAGACAGGACCCGGAAAAUGGUCGCGACCAUUGGCGUUUCUAUCAUGGGUGCAAUGUGUGCGGGGCACACGGGCCCCUGAGUCCAGGGUGGCCCAACACCGCACACAUUGCACCCAUAUUUUAGUACUCACCUCUCCGGAGUCCAGCAUCGGACGCUGCAGCCGCCUCCAUCGCACAAAAAGUCCACUCCAAAAUGGCCGCAGUGCAUUCGUACUUUGAAUUUUGUCUCCGGAACAUGGCGGGCACCGUGUUUCCGGAGACCCGCGCAAGCGCAGUAGGCUCCGGCACAGUGUCGGAGCCUACAGCGCCGUGGAGAGGAGUGGGCCCACCCGGAGUCUGCACAUGGGCCCCAUCUCGCUUAAGACGCCCCUGGUCGCAACACACCGGUACUUUUGCUGCCACUCCCCGUUACCUCCCCCAAAAUGGACCCCUACUGCCACUGUGAGCGGUAUCACUAAGGUGCCUAGCCGCACACGCAGUGCAAUGGUGACGCAUGAGCAGUUGGCCGAUAAUCGAUCAACUGCGUAAAUAUCGGCAUAGCAUACAUCCCUGAAUGAGGCCCCGUGUUUGGAUUUUUAUGUAGAAAACUAUAGAGUAUUUGCUGUGUGUGUUAUCUUAUGGCAGCCUGCCAAGUCAAAGGAGGUCAUAUGCUAGGAAAAGUUAUCUCGUUUGAAGUGUAGGUUUUCACCCUCAUUUAAUCUUAGAAAAAUAUUAGCAGAGACAAUACAUUAACGCAUGAACUAAAGGAAAAGCACGUUUUUCGAUGACAGUAACAAUAUUUUCACACUGGGGAAUUAUAGCUCCUGUAUCACACCUGUAUGUUUCUUACUUGUCAAUCAUGUGUGCACAACAGUCACAACAUUACUUUAUCUGAGCUGAGUUAGAAAUCCAUUAGUCAUUGAUACUCUGACUGUAAUUCACAUCUUUAUUGAAAACAGCAAUAACUUUGAUCAUUGCAGAUAAAUCUUUAGUUUUUGUAGGUUAAAAACUGCUUUUAAGAGCAGGGCUUUCUGGUAUUACGCAUAUACUGUUUGGGCAGCGGUGCAAGCAUGCGGGUACGCUCGGGUACGGAGUACCCUUAAGAAUUUGGCAGCGGGUACGCAGUACCACCUGCCACACACUUUGCCUUUACCACAAUUAUAAUAUGCCACAAAGCAACAAGACCAUGGUGCUUGGCAGCAUGACGGCUCCUCCCACUUUGUCAGGGUUACUAAGAGUGCGACAGCAGUGGCUGUAUAUUCCUGUUAUAAUGGAGGCAUUACUAUAUAUUGUUAUUAAAUUGGGGGCAUUACUGUAUAUUUCUAUUAUACUGAAGGUAUCACUAUAGAUUUCUGUUAUACUGGAGGCAUUACUAUAUAUUUUUAGCCUUGCCUCCAGAUUCCUCCCAAAAAGGGGGCUGUCGUGUGGCCACGCCACUAGUGUCAUGUAGCCACUCCCACUAGCAGCAUGUGGCCACGCUCCCUCACAACACAUGACCACGCCCAUUUUUUGGCACUCAGUACCACUAAGAAAAUAUUUCUACUUGCACAACUGGCUAUGAUUAUACGUAUGUUUGUAAACUGUUGUUUUAUUUGCCUUCUUAGUACCCUGCUAUUAUAGUGUCUGUUUAUAAUGUUCUCUGAUUACAGUACUAUAUAUUCCCAUCUUAUUAUUGACCCUAUUACU